GGACUGUGCCUCCUGUGCCUACUGAGCUGAUUACAGUACUACUGAAUGGCUGGCUCAGUUCAGCAGGAACAGGAGUC
rnacentral:pre_miRNA from 1 species